rnacentral:rRNA from 1 species
AUUGAACGCUGGCGGCAGGCCUAACACAUGCAAGACGAGCGAGCGGCGGACGGGUGAGUAAUGUCUGGGGAACGGCCCGAUGGAGGGGGAUAACUACUGGAAACGGUAGCUAAUACCGCAUACUAUCUGAUGCACCCAUAUGGGAUUAGCUAGUAGGUGGGGUAAAGGCUCACCUAGGCGACGAUCACUAGCUGGUCUGAGAGGAUGAUCAGCCACACUGGAACUGAGACACGGCCCAGACUCUUACGUGAGGCAGCAGUGGGGAAUAUUGCACGAUGGGCGCAAGCCUGAUGCAGCCAUGCCGCGUGUAUGAAGAAGGCCUUAAGGUUGUAAAGUACUUUCAGCGGGGAGGCGUUACCCGCAGAAGAAGCACCGGCUAACUCCGUGCCAGCAGCCGCGGUAAUAC